AAGUCGUAACAAGGUUUCCGUAGGUGAACCUGCGGAAGGAUCAUUAACACAAGUAAAAAACCAUUUUUACAACACCCUAUUAUGAAUUUAAAUUUUUUAAUUUUAAUUUUUUUAUAAAACUACAAAAAAAAUAUUUAAUUUAUUUGACUAACAUUUUUUUAAUUUAUUUAUUUAAAAUUUUAUAAAACAACUCUUAACAACGGAUAUCUUGGCUCUC
rnacentral:misc_RNA from 1 species